GACGAACCGUGCGAACGUUGUUCGGAAUCACUGGGCUUAAAGGGCGCGUAGGCGGAACACCAAGUCCGGGGUGAAAUCUUUCGGCUCAACCGAAAAAUGGCCUUGGAUACUGGCGUUCUGGAGGGAGGUAGGGGCAGCUGGAACUUCCGGUGGAGCGGUGAAAUGCGUUGAUAUCGGAAGGAACGCCGGUGGCGAAAGCGAGCUGCUGGACCUCUUCUGACGCUGAGGCGCGAAAGCCAGGGGAGCGAACGGG
rnacentral:rRNA from 1 species